rnacentral:rRNA from 1 species
UACGUAGGGGGCUAGCGUUGUCCGGAAUCAUUGGGCGUAAAGCGCGUGUAGGCGGUCCGGUAAGUCCGCUGUGAAAGUCCAGGGCUCAACCCUGGGAUGCCGGUGGAUACUGUCGGGCUCGAGUCCGGAAGAGGCGAGUGGAAUUCCUGGUGUAGCGGUGAAAUGCGCAGAUAUCAGGAGGAACACCAAUGGCGAAGGCAGCUCGCUGGGACGUGACUGACGCUGAGACGCGAAAGCGUGGGGAGCGAACAGG